CCCUGUCCCCGAUAGCAACGAAAAGCCCGCAAAGGAAAUGCCCGUAAAAAACAAAACCCAAAACAGCGACUGCAAGAAGCUCGUUUUGGGUUUAUGUUUUUAGGGCAAUGACUGCGGACUUGUAGUGAAUAGCGGGAAUUGGC
rnacentral:misc_RNA from 1 species